rnacentral:rRNA from 1 species
CCGCGUGUGUGAAGAAGGUCUUCGGAUUGUAAAGCACUUUAAGUUGGGAGGAAGGGCAGUAAAUUAAUACUUUGCUGUUUUGACGUUACCGACAGAAUAAGCACCGGCUAACUCUGUGCCAGCAGCCGCGGUAAUACAGAGGGUGCAAGCGUUAAUCGGAAUUACUGGGCGUAAAGCGCGCGUAGGUGGUUAGUUAAGUUGGAUGUGAAAUCCCCGGGCUCAACCUGGGAACUGCAUUCAAAACUGACUGACUAGAGUAUGGUAGAGGGUGGUGGAAUUUCCUGUGUAGC